rnacentral:rRNA from 1 species
ACGCUCGACACCUACGGGAGGCAGCAGUCGGGAAUAUUGCGCAAUGGAGGAAACUCUGACGCAGUGACGCCGCGUAUAGGAAGAAGGUUUUCGGAUUGUAAACUAUUGUCGUUAGGGAAGAGAAGGGACAGUACCUAAGGAGGAAGCUCCGGCUAACUACGUGCCGGCAGCCGUGGUAAUCUGAGCGGGCUGGCAAGGC